GAUGAACGCUAGCGGCAGGCCUAAUACAUGCAAGUCGAACGGUGUCUUCGGACAUAGUGGCGCACGGGUGCGUAACACGUAUGCAACCUACCUUACAUUGGGGGAUAGCCUUUCGAAAGGGAGAUUAAUACCGCAUAAGACAGUAGCUGGGCAUCCAGCAGCUGUUAAAGAUUUAUCGAUGUAAGCUGGGCAUGCGUCCAAUUAGCUAGUUGGUGAGGUAACGGCACACCAAGGCAAUGAUUGGUAGGGGAACUGAGAGGUCAAUCCCCCACACUGGCACUGGGAUACGGGCCAGAUUCCUACGGGAGGCAGCAGUAGGGAAUAUUGGGCAAUGGACGCAAGUCUGACCCAGCCAUGCCGCGUGCAGGAUGAAGGCGUUAUGCGUUGUAAACUGCUUUUAUACAGGAAGAAACGACUCUUGCGAGAGGCAUUGACGGUACUGUAUGAAUAAGCACCGGCUAACUCCGUGCCAGCCGCCGCCGUAACAC
rnacentral:rRNA from 1 species